AACGAACGCUGGCGGCAUGCCUAACACAUGCAAGUCGAACGAGACCUUCGGGUCUAGUGGCGCACGGGUGCGUAACGCGUGGGAAUCUACCCUUGGGUUCGGAAUAACUCAGAGAAAUUUGAGCUAAUACCGGAUGAUGUCGCAAGACCAAAGAUUUAUCGCCCAAGGAUGAGCCCGCGUAGGAUUAGCUUGUUGGUGAGGUAAAAGCUCACCAAGGCGACGAUCCUUAGCUGGUCUGAGAGGAUGAUCAGCCACACUGGGACUGAGACACGGCCCAGACUCCUACGGGAGGCAGCAGUGGGGAAUAUUGGACAAUGGGCGAAAGCCUGAUCCAGCAAUGCCGCGUGAGUGAUGAAGGCCUUAGGGUUGUAAAGCUCUUUUACCCGGGAUGAUAAUGACAGUACCAGGAGAAUAAGCCCCGGCUAACUCCGUGCCAGCAGCCGCGGUAAU
rnacentral:rRNA from 1 species